GGGCUGCUUCCAUGCAGUCGAACGGUAGAGUAGCAAUACUUGAGAGUGGCGAACGGGUGAGUAAUAUAUCGGAACGUGCCCAGUCGUGGGGGAUAACGUAAAGAAAUUUACGCUAAUACCGCAUACGAUCUAAGGAUGAAAGCGGGGGACUCGCAAGAGCCUCGCGCGAUUGGAGCGGCUGAUAUCAAAUUAGGUUGUUGGUGAGGUAAAAGCUCACCAAGCCGACGAUCUGUAGCUGGUUUGAGAGAACGACCAGCCACACUGGGACUGAGACACGGCCCAAACUCCUACGGGAGGCAGCAGUGGGGAAUUUUGGACAAUGGGCGAAAGCCUGAUCCAGCAAUGCCGCGUGCAGGAAGAAGGCCUUCGGGUUGUAAACUGCUUUUGUACGGAACGAAAAGGUCUGCCCUAAUACGGCGGGCCCAUGACGGUACCGUAAGAAUAAGCACCGGCUAACUACGUGCCAGCAGCCGCGGUAAUACGUAGGGUGCGAGCGUUAAUCGGAAUUACUGGGCGUAAAGCGUGCGCAGGCGGUGAUGUAAGACAGUUGUGAAAUCCCCGGGCUCAACCUGGGAAUUGCAUCUGUGACUGCAUCGCUAGAGUACGGUAGAGGGGGAUGGAAUUCCGCGUGUAGCAGUGAAAUGCGUAGAUAUGCGGAGGAACACCGAUGGCGAAGGCAAUCCCCUGGACCUGUACUGACGCUCAUGCACGAAAGCGUGG
rnacentral:rRNA from 1 species